rnacentral:rRNA from 1 species
GGGGGGGGGGGGGGGGGGGGGUGGGGGGGGGGGGGGGGGGGGGGGGGCGGGGCUGUGGUGGGGUGGUGGAGGGGGGGAGGGGUGAGUAACGCGUGGGGGACCUGCCCUGGACUGUGGGAUAGCGUCAGGAAACUGGGGCUAAUACCGGAUAGGAGCUCCUGCUGCAUGGUGGGGGUUGGAAAGUUUCGGCGGUUGGGGAUGGACUCGCGGCGUAUCAGCUUGUUGGUGGGGUAGUGGCUUACCAAGGCUUUGACGGGUAGCCGGCCUGAGAGGGUGACCGGCCACAUUGGGACUGAGAUACGGCCCAGACUCCUACGGGAGGCAGCAGUGGGGAAUAUUGCACAAUGGGCGGAAGCCUGAUGCAGCAACGCCGCGUGCGGGAUGACGGCCUUCGGGUUGUAAACCGCUUUCGCCUGUGACGAAGCGUGAGUGACGGUAAUGGGUAAAGAAGCACCGGCUAACUACGUG